GCAAUCUUCAAGAGAGCUGCACGUGAUAGCUGUGCACAAAUGUGUAAAUACUCACCUACGAAUAACUUAUGACCUACGUUCAGUCUAGUAACGAAACUUGUAAAAUUGAUUCGCGUGUAGCAAAAUGAUGCUUCAAGCCGGUGUUUCCAAAAAUCCAAGCGGCCGUGUCAUGAAGAAACGAGCGGUGCGGUGAACUCCCACAGGGUUGCCAACUGUCAGUGUCACCAUACUUAAGAAAGGUAUGCAACCGCAUUACACGUUCAUUCUUGAAUCCGCCUUAAUUCAAAAUGUCGAGCUCACGAUCACUACAGAUAUUGUUCUCCGUAUUGAUUAUAUCGCUAAUGAUUUCACCGGUCGUAUUGCAAAAUCCUAACUCUGACAGUGUCGAAACAUCACCCUUGGCUGGAUAUUGUUUCAUUUUUAAGCAAUGUUACAAUUUCCUUUGUGACUGCGAACUCAAGCACCUAAAAGAAAUACUUAAAGCAACUAAGCAGCAUUUUCGCCGUUAAUAAUUACUUGGUAUCGUAAAUUAUCGCAAACAAAGUUAAUUACCUAUUGUCAAAGAAUUUACUCAAAACAUAAAACAUAUGAAUCACACCAAUAUCAAAUCAUUUAAGAAUGCAUAAGCAAAUUCGACAUUAUUAACGCGUAGUUUCAAGUAUAAUGAUGGCGACGUUCGUUUCACUCUUUUUACUGCUCAUCAAUGUUUCUAUACAGUCGGCCCAGCCCACUUCUCAAGAUCCACGUAUAAUCAUGCGUGGUUUCUGUUUCAUUUUCGGUACAUGCUACGACUUUUUCUGCAAUUGCGACCUGACCAGGAUUAAAA